CAGCCGCCGCGGGAAUACGUAGGUGGCAAGCGUUGUUCGGAAUUAUUGGGCGUAAAGGGUGCGUAGGCGGUUUGACAAGUCUUAUGUGAAAUCUUCGGGCUCAACCCGAAGUCUGCAUGAGAAACUGUCGGGCUUGAGUAUGGGAGAGGUGAGUGGAAUUUCCGGUGUAGCGGUGAAAUGCGUAGAUAUCGGAAGGAACACCUGUGGCGAAAGCGGCUCACUGGACCAUAACUGACGCUGAUGCACGAAAGCUAGGGGAGCAAACAGGAUUAGAUACCCGGGUAGUCCCUGUCUCUUAUAC
rnacentral:rRNA from 1 species